rnacentral:tRNA from 1 species
UCCGGGAUCGUCUAACAGUAGGACACGCGGCUUUGAACCGCAGAAUCGUGGUGCGAGUCCACGUCCCGGAGCCA